rnacentral:rRNA from 1 species
CCUACGGAGGCAGCAGUCGGGAAUUUUGGGCAAUGGGCGAAAGCCUGACCCAGCAACGCCGCGUGAAGGAUGAAGUAUUUCGGUAUGUAAACUUCGAAAGAAUAGGAAGAAUAAAUGACGGUACUAUUUAUAAGCUCCGGCUAACUACGUGCCAGCAGCCGCGGUAAUA